CCCAAGCCUUGGCUAGGCGCGCGCGCGCACGGGGUCGGGCGCUCCCGGGCGGCGGUGGCACCACGUAGCCGCCUCCUUCCACCGCUCGCUUUAUCCCCGCCCCUUCUCGGGCCAACCCCAAGCGCCGCUGACCCCGAACGUCGCUGCGGGGUAGGUAGGGGGUGGGAGGGUGGAGGACCGCAGGCGAGAGGGAGAAGGAAGGGCGCCCGGGGAGCAGGCUGGCAGAGUGACCGGGAUUGAUGAGCGGCGCAGCUCUGGAGGGACGCGGGCGAGAGGGUCGCUCCUCGGGGAGAGGGCUGGCUCUACCACCCUCUGAUUUUUUUUAACAGCCUAUGAUAAGAGGAGAUGAAUGCCUGCUAAAGCGACCAGAAGGCUCUCAGUAAAAAGUAUUCACUAGGUAUCAAUAGAAUCUGCAAAACGAAGAGGUGCUUGAAAGAUGUGAAAGAGGAAACUUAAAGAGAAACCCAGAUGGUACAUCUCUCUUCCUGGCUAGAUAGAUGGAAUGUACAGCCAGAGGAUUGGAUGAGGUCAUCGACGGAGAGAAUGCAGAGAGAAUCCUGGGGCUCACCAACAUGAAGAAUUUGGGACAAGAAAGAAGAUCCAGCAGAGAAGACUGAAAGAAGGCAACUAAUGAAAUAGGAGAGAACCUGGAGAGCACAGAGUCUUAGAGGCCAAGAAAGUGGUUUAAUAUAAUCCGUAUCAAAGCAUUUGUGGUUUAUUUUUGUUAACUGACAAAAGGAUUCUAAAACAUACCUGAAAAGUAUAAUUCACACCUAGGAUAAUGGAUCAUUCUGUCACAUUGUUCCUUUUUCACAGCUGAUAUGAACAUGAUAUUUUCAUGACUUUGUAAAAUAAAAAUGGAAUCUUUCUAAUUUUUUUAAAAAAACUGCUUACUUAUGCAAGCCUUCUGUCUCUCACUGUAUAACCCCUCCACUUUUAUACGGGUCACACAUGUUUCUGUCACUUUCCUGGAGCCCUUGUAGCAAAUUAAUAACAUGUAGCACAUGCUUGAAGAAAAAUUUGUCUAGGACAUUUUGUUUUUGAGAUUCAUAAAUUGACUCUAUUUUACAUAAGAAUCUAUUAUGCCAUAGGAAGCUUAUUAAACCCUUGAGCAGGAACAAAUUAUUCAAUAAAUGGUGAUGAGAUGAAUGCCU
rnacentral:lncRNA from 10 species